UCUUGCAGAAAUUCGACAGGGAAGAAAAGCAAGUCACCAGGGACUGUAUCCUUGAUUAGUGGCUGCGAUCCUGCAACACACUUCAUCCUGCCCAAUCCCCAUCGAUGUUGGCAUUUUCCUACUCAAUUGAUGUCCUCAUAUUUUCCCUGCUCCAUCUACACACCAUAUAUUUCCUCAGGGCUUUACAAUUGAACCCCAUGGAUUGUCCUUAAUUAGAUUUUAGAGGAAUCACUUUUCUAAUUUCUGGUUUCAUAUAUAUAACCAUUCACAAGCACACAUAUGUGUAUGUACAUGCAUAUACACGUAGAGAGGCAGUUCACUUAUGUAUGUAUAUAUGAUGUGUGGGUGUGUGGGGGUGUGUGUAUGAUUUGUGUGUGUGUGUUUGUGUGUAAUAUAUAACGCUGGCACCAAAAAUGGCUGUUGAAGUCUCAUAUCAG
rnacentral:lncRNA from 10 species